GACGAACCGUGCGAACGUUGUUCGGAAUCACUGGGCUUAAAGGGCGCGUAGGCGGCUCGCGAGGUCGGGGGUGAAAUCCCGGCAGCUUAACUGGCGGAAGAGCCUUCGAUACCGGCGGGCUAGAGGAAGGUAGGGGUGCGCGGAACUUCUGGUGGAGCGGUGAAAUGCGUUGAUAUCAGAAGGAACGCCGGCGGCGAAAGCGGCGGCACCUGGACCUUUCUGACGCUGAGGCGCGAAAGCCAGGGGAGCAAAGCGGGG
rnacentral:rRNA from 1 species